UACGUAGGGUGCAAGCGUUGUCCGGAAUUAUUGGGCGUAAAGAGCUCGUAGGCGGUCUGUCGCGUCUGCUGUGAAAACUCGGGGCUUAACCCCGGGCCUGCAGUGGGUACGGGCAGACUAGAGUGCGGUAGGGGAGACUGGAAUUCCAGGUGUAGCGGUGAAAUGCGUAGAUAUCUGGAGGAACACCGGUGGCGAAGGCGGCAUCCUGGACCAAUUCUGACGCUGAGGAGCGAAAGCCAGGGGAGCAAACGGG
rnacentral:rRNA from 1 species